rnacentral:tRNA from 1 species
GGCCCUGUGGCGCAAUAGUAGUGUGUCUGACUCUAGAUCAGAAGGCUGCGAGUUUGAAUCACAUCAGGGUCA